CCUACGGGGGGCUGCAGUGGGGAAUAUUCCGCAAUGGACGAAAGUCUGACGGAGCAACGCCGCGUGAGUGAUGAAGGUUUUCGGACUGUAAAGCUCUGUUGUUUGGGACGAAAGUGCCUGUUGCGAACAGUUACGGGUAUUGACGGUACUAAACGAGGAAGCCACGGCUAACUACGUGCCAGCAGCCGCGGUAAUACGUAGGUGGCAAGCGUUGUCCGGAAUUAUUGGGCGUAAAGAGCAUGUAGGCGGGAAUCUAAGUCUGUUGUUAAAAUGCGGGGCUCAACCCCGUAUUGCGAUGGAAACUGGGUUUCUUGAGUGCAGGAGAGGAAAGGGGAAUUCCCAGUGUAGCGGUGAAAUGCGUAGAUAUUGGGAGGAACACCAGUGGCGAAGGCGCCUUUCUGGACUGUGUCUGACGCUGAGAUGCGAAAGCCAGGGUAGCGAACGGGAUUAGAUACCCCUGUAGUC
rnacentral:rRNA from 1 species